rnacentral:lncRNA from 1 species
CGUGUGUUGUGUAACAAAGGUGAACAAUGAAAACUCUUAAUCAAAGUAAAUAAAACGAUUACUGAACUUACUAAAAUAAACAAAAAUACAUUUGUAAUAAUUGCAAAACAAAAAUUAAAUUAAUUAAUUACUUACUCCGUGAUAGGCCGUAGAUCAAGAAAUUUAACAAUGAGAUGAGAACAAAAACAAACACGUGAUAUGAUUUUGAUGUGGCUGCUGUGGAAUGUACGGCCAACGUGAUUAAUAAAAAGGUUUUAUAGUGAAAGUAAUAAAUUGUCAAUUAUUCGACAGAACACUCCCCGUCUGAUGCAAAAGGCAUCACUAUAAAAAGCAAAAAACCAAAAAAUACUAAAAUGUUCAAUACUACAUUUAACUGUAAAUAACAACUAAAGUUCUAAAUUGUCUAAGCUAAAAGUUCUACAUUGUCAAUAUCAAAGUUUUCUUUUUCUGGACUUCUCCCCAUGACUCGUCUAGAAAAAGAUGCACAAUUUCGGUCACUGGACGAGUGUAUGUCACUGCACGUUCACCAUUUCGCAUGAUUCGCACAUCGCAUGUACGUACUAGUUGAUCGGAUCCAGGAUAAGUUCUCUCUACAAUCCCUAUAGGCCAAUCGUUUCUAGCAGAUUGCUUGUCUCUUAUCAGAACAACAUCGCCCGGAGAGAUGUUUUUCUGUGGUUCGGUCCAUUUACGUUGUGUUUGGAGUGUUUGUAGGUAUUCAUUUUUCCAUCGAUUCCAAAAUUUAUCUGCAAGUAUUUGCACACAUUUCCACUGUUUAUUGUACAUAUCUUUGCUGUCAAUUAUUUGCUGAUCGUUAAUGAUCUGUUGCGGUUUUUGAGUAAGUAAUAAAGAUGGAGAGAGCGGCAUCGGAUUUUCUGGAUCGGUAGUGAGAGGGACAAGCGGUCUCGAAUUCACAAUUGCUGAUGCUUCUGCUAAAAAUGUUACAAGCAUCUCAUGAGUAAGCUUAUUCCUAGAAGCUUCCAUUAAGAGCGAAUCUAGUAUUCUUCUUGUUAUGCCAAUAACUCUUUCCCAGACACCUCCCAUGUGAGAAGCGUGAGGCGGGUUGAACUGCCAAGUUGUUCCCUGAUUACGAAGAAACUCUUUCAUUCGACCAUCCUCGACGUUGAUUGCUUGUAUCCCUAAUUCUUUGAUAGAGCCUACGAAGUUUGUUCCUCUAUCAGAUCUAAAAUGACUCACUGGACCUCGUAUUGCUGUGAAUCGUUUUAAUGCCAUAAUGAAAGACGAUGAGCUUAACUCCUC